UCAUUUGAUUAGCCGGCACUCGAAGCUCUCUUUCAUCCCAACUACUUCACUGCCGUCCUCAUCAGAAUGACAGGUUGGCUCUCUGCCUGCUCAUCUGCCUUGCAUCAUCAUUGAACCUUGCUGUCUAGAAGCUGUUGUUGGUAACUCUUGUAAAUUUGAGCACAUGUGGAGACAUGCCCCGUGCUGGGAACCUGCACCACCGAGGAAGAAAGGAUUUACAUCCUCAUGAGAGUGUAUACCUUUGUGCAAGACUUUGGGGGCCGCAUGCCGUUUUAGAUGUGCCAAAUGGCGUGUACAAAUUUAUGAAUAAGGAAUAUGCAUCGACUCCCUUGUAAUGUAUGAAUAACGGUGUGGCUGUAGCGUUGAGAAGAAGUGAUGUGCUGAGGUUUGGUGACUCGGAUCCAUGGUAUACACUGGAGCCUCGCUGGACAGCCCUCCCAGCUCGUUGAUGGAUCAUUGGUGGGAACUGGAACCCGGUGAGCUGAGUUCUACGACACCAGGGCCAGUUUGUCCUGGUAAGAGCGACAUGAGUGAAACGCACUUGUCACCACUGCUAAGGAUGAGGAUCCUGUCGGUAGACUGGAUGCAGUGCAUUGUGGGAAAUUAGCCUUCGCACAACACCCAUAGUGACUGGCGUUUUAUCCUGCUGUCUGACUAAUGAAAGUCAUGAACCAACAAGUCGUCAUGUGAAUCAACGGAUAUAUUGUUUAUAAGAAGAUAUGGUGGCUUUGAAUGUUUAUAGACAAAAUGGAAUAAUGAUGAUUGAUGUGGGGGAAGGGGAUUGUGGGAUUUUGAGUUCAUUAAAUAAGUUCGUACGUUUGCAAUUUGAAUUACGUACAGGCAGUACCCGGGUUACAAACGUCCGACUUACCUACAACCCGUAGGUACAACCCCCCCCCCCCCCGUAAAGCCUAUUAUAUUAAAAAUUGAAGUUAAAUACACACACACACACACACAUUUUCAGAACCGCUCAUCCCAUACGGGGUCACGGGGAACCGGAGCCUAACCCGGCAACACAGGGCGUAAGGCCGGAGGGGGAGAGGACACACCCAGGACGGGACGCCAGUCCGUCACAAGGCACCCCAAGCGGGACUCGAACCCCAGACCCACCGGAAAGCAGGACUGUGGUCCAACCCACUGCACCACCGCACCCCCUUAAAUUAAAUACAAUAGUUCAUAAUAACAAAUGGCACUACUUUGCGACACUCAUCAAAACAUUGCGCAUCUACAGCAGUUCGUCAGCUUGUGGGCGGGAAGCAUAAGCCCGAGGUAGGACAAAGACUUCCUUCUUUUCCUGUUAAAUGUCUCGUGUAUUACUGUAUUUGGCUUUAAUUUUUUUGUUUUUACUCUCAUAGCCACGGGACCGAAGCAUAAAUGUGAUGCAAGUGUUGGUGAUGCAUCAAAGAAAAGGAAAACGAUCACGAC
rnacentral:lncRNA from 1 species